CCCUUGGUCGUCUAGUUGGUUUAUGACGUCAGACUGUAAAUGCUCAGGUUGAUCUGGAUGUCACCGGUUCGAAUCCGGUCCGAGGGA